rnacentral:rRNA from 1 species
CUACGGGGUGCACCAGUGGGGGAUAUUGCACAAUGGGGGGAACCCUGAUGCAGCAACGCCGCGUGGAGGAUGACGCAUUUCGGUGUGUAAACUCCUUUUAUAUGUCAAGAAAAUGACGGUAGCAUAUGAAUAAGCACCGGCUAACUCCGUGCCAGCAGCCGCGGUAAUACGGAGGGUGCAAGCGUUACUCGGAAUCACUGGGCGUAAAGGACGCGUAGGCGGGUUGGAAAGUCAGGUGUGAAAUCCUACAGCUUAACUGUAGAACUGCACUUGAAACUUCUAAUCUAGAGUAUGGGAGGGGGAGAUGGAAUUAGUGGUGUAGGGGUAAAAUCCGUAGAUAUCACUAGGAAUACCUAAAGCGAAGGCGAUCUCCUGGAACAUUACUGACGCUAAGGCGUGAAAGCGUGGGGAGCAAACAGGAUUAGAUACCCCGGUAGUC